GAAAUUCACUGGGCCUCCUGCUCCUUUAAACUCGCGCUUUCGCUCCCGCCGACACUUGACAAAAGCGGCGGCAGCGGGGCCGCGCCGAGCCAGCGCCUGGUGUCCCCGAGCGCGGGCCUGGGGGCCGGAGGGGCUCGCGGGGUCAGGGAGCCGCGGGGCUCUGGUUUGCUUUGCUUACCACCCCCAACUAAUGUGAGAGCAGCCCUCCUGGAAGGGCGCUGUAACGAACCCCUAGCGCGUAGCAGACCCCGCAGGCGCCCGAGCCGGGGCCGGGGGACCCCCGCCCCCACCCCCAGCCACCGCCGGGAGCGCAGGCGGCUAGGGAGCCAGGUGGGUGCGGGCAGCGCCCGGGCUGCCGAGGGCGCGGGCCGGUACGAGGAUGGCGCCCCGGCGGCGCGGGGAAGCCGCCCCGUGCUUCCCUCCCCUGUCUCCCCGCCGACUCCGCUCACGGCCGGCGCCCCGGACCGCCAGCGGCGGGGGCGCGCGGGGCUGGAGCUGCCCUCGCCCUUCCCCUGGCCGGGCCGUUCCGGCUUAGGCUGUCGGCGACUCCGCUGCCAGCCAAGGAAAGUGCAGCCAUUGGGCAGCCUCAUUUUCCGGGCUUCGGACCUCAGACUGCUGCAGCUCCAACCUUCCGUGGGCUCAGCUCUUCGAGCUGCCCAUCGCUCCGGCGGCCAGAAAGGACGCGCGCCCUGCGCUGGGCGAAGGAAAGAAGCAAAAACUCGUCGGAGGGGCUUCCCUAGCCGAGACCCCCCUGCCUGAAAAUCGAGGCCUCCCGCUGGGACCGUCCCAGGGCUGGGGAAAGUUCCUCGGAACCCACAGCGCCCUUGGAUUUGGAGCCUGCCGCGGCGCUGGCUGUGGAAUCCGCUCUGCUCGGAGCCCAGCGGAGCGCGUCGCGGGCGCUAGGAAGCCGCCGUCUGCGGGCGCCGGAGCGGCGCUGCCCGUGCGGAGCCGAGAGUUUGCAGCAGCCCCGGCCGCGAGUGGGCCCGUCGCCCCGCGGUUGUUUCCUGCGCGGGGCGCGGCGGCGAGGUCGGCAAGUUGCGAGGAGACCCUCAUGGGUCCAGAGAGGGCUGCGCUCCGCUCCGACUCGCAUCCCUUCCUGCUGUCCCCGGCGCUCGGGCGUGAAAUCGAUGGCGACGUGUACGGGAGGCCUCCUGGGUCCCGACGAUACUGAUCUGCGGCG
rnacentral:lncRNA from 1 species